rnacentral:rRNA from 1 species
UACGAAGGGGGCUAGCGUUGCUCGGAAUCACUGGGCGUAAAGCGCACGUAGGCGGAUUGCUAAGUCAGGGGUGAAAUCCUGGAGCUCAACUCCAGAACUGCCUUUGAUACUGGCGACCUUGAGUCCGGGAGAGGUGAGUGGAACUGCGAGUGUAGAGGUGAAAUUCGUAGAUAUCUGGAGGAACACCGGUGGCGAAGGCGGCAUCCUGGACCGGCAUUGACGCUGAGGAGCGAAAGCCAGGGGAGCAAACGGG